rnacentral:rRNA from 1 species
UGGGGAAUUUUGGACAAUGGGCGAAAGCCUGAUCCAGCAAUGCCGCGUGUGUGAAGAAGGCCUUCGGGUUGUAAAGCACUUUUGUCCGGAAAGAAAUCCUUGGCUCUAAUACAGUCGGGGGAUGACGGUACCGGAAGAAUAAGCACCGGCUAACUACGUGCCAGCAGCCGCGGUAAUACGUAGGGUGCAAGCGUUAAUCGGAAUUACUGGGCGUAAAGCGUGCGCAGGCGGUUUGCUAAGACCGAUGUGAAAUCCCCGGGCUCAACCUGGGAACUGCAUUGGUGACUGGCAGGCUAGAGUAUGGCAGAGGGGGGUAGAAUUCCACGUGUAGCAGUGAAAUGCGUAGAGAUGUGGAGGAAUACCGAUGGCGAAGGCAGCCCCCUGGGCCAAUACUGACGCUCAUGCGCGAAAGCGUGGGGAGCAAACAGGAUUAGAUACCCUGGUAGUCCACGCCCUAAAACGAUGUCAACUAGUUGUUGGGGAUUCAUUUCCUUAGUAACGUAGCUAACGCGUGAAGUUGACCGCCU